GAGAAACCGCUUGUGUAAUAAGCAGAUGGUGGCCAGACCAUGUGUAACAACAGAACUCUGUCCCGCAGUCUGCAGAGGCCGGUUCGGAAAGCCAUGGCCCAGUCUCUGCAGCAGGGAGCCUGAUACAGCCAGGUCAGGGUUCAGUCUAUAGCACGGACCCGGAUGUGUUUGCUGCUGCUUCUACUUCAGGACCAGCCAGAGAAAGGAAGAAAGCCUUCCCCACUGGCCGUCACUCGCUCCUCUCCAGCCAGUGACAGCUGCUGGUCUGCUUCUGGACUACAGAAUGGACGGUUUCAGAGAGUGUGCUGCUUUGAAUGAGAACGGCCUGCCAUGGGAUGGUGCACAGAAGAGACACCACGUGAGGACAAGCAGAAGGCAGCUGCGCGGGAGAGGCAGGCAGGAAGCCUCACCAGACACACAUCAUGCUAGCACUUUGAUCUUGAGCUUCUGGCCUCCAUAACUUUAGGAAAAUAAAUAUCGGUUGUUGAAGUCA